rnacentral:rRNA from 1 species
AACGAACGCUGGCGGCAUGCCUAACACAUGCAAGUCGAACGAGACCUUCUGGUCUAGUGGCGUACGGGUUCGUAACGCGUGGGAAUCUUCCCUUGGGUUCGGCAUAACUGUGAGAAAUUACUGCUAAUACCGGAUGAUGUCUUCGUCCCAAAGAUUUAUCGCCCCGGGAUGAGCCCGCGUAGGAUUAGCUUGUUGGUUUGGUAAUGGCCUACGACGGCGCCGAUCCUUAGCUGGUCAGAGAGGAUGAUCAGCCACACCGGGAGUGGGACCCGGCCCAGACUCCUACGGGAGGCAGGAGAGGGGAAUAUUGGACAAUGGGAGGAAGGCUGAACCAGCAAUGACGGGUGAGCGAUGAAAGCAGGAGGUUAGUAAAGAGCUUUUAACCGGGAAGAUAAUGACAGUACCGGAAGAAUAAGCUCCGGCUAACUCCGUG